UACAGAGGUCCCAAGCGUUGUUCGGAUUCACUGGGCGUAAAGGGUGCGUAGGCGGUCGGGUAAGUCUGAUGUGAAAUCUCACAGCUUAACUGUGAAACUGCAUUGGAUACUAUCCGGCUCGAGGAAUGGAGGGGAGACUGGAAUACUUGGUGUAGCAGUGAAAUGCGUAGAUAUUGGGAGGAACACCAGUGGCGAAGGCGGCUCACUGGACCGGUUCUGACGCUGAGGCGCGAAAGCGUGGGGAGCAAACGGG
rnacentral:rRNA from 1 species